GGUCCGAUACAUAAAAUUAUAGUCAUAGGGAAAACAAUCAUCGAAGAGUUUUUGGAAGGUGAGUCUUUUUUUUUCGAAUAAUUGUUAACGAAUUCAUCAAGUACUUUCCUACAAAAUCGCUCUGCCAGCAGAACCAGUCUUUUCCGACAAGGAUCGUUCACCAAAAAUGAGCCAACUCGAAGGUCCCAAUAGCAACCUCUGCAAAUUGGGAACUCCGUUACUCAAGUCCACCUCAGCAAGAGUGUCCACAUGUGUUCUUGUUCAACAUCGACUGGAACUCCUGCUUAAGAAAAACGGAUUCAAAAAUAGCUCCCGGUUGAAGGAAAAAAUAUUGGUUUCCUAGCAGUGAAAUUUUAUUGCUCUACCAUGGCAUCGGGAGCAAACCGCUUCUAACGAACGAAUACUUUAAGAAAAGGAAGAGAAAUUUCACAGGACUCUUUUUUCGGUUGAAGGACGUCAGACAGAGAGUGACUGGAGCAAGGUUGUCUCGGUAGAAACCGAACAAAGUUCGUCCGAGGUUAAACCGAUAGAAGAAAUGUAGGACCCAAAAGGAUCACGGUUGACAUGAUAUGUAUUGACCCGAUUACUUUUUCGCUGUCACACUAGAUUUCAUCUUAGACGGCGGCUUCAGGUGAAUCACUGCAGGAAUACCACGUUCUAAUUCGGAAGGCGCCAUUCAACCUGAAAGGACAUUACUGAUGAUGCCUUCUUCAUUGACGAAAGUUCUUUCUGGUAGUGGUAUUUACACUUAUUGAAACGGAACACAUCUGUCAUCUCCGUUCCAAUUUCCUAUUACGAUUCCCUCAUCCCUGAGCCACUGCCGGAGUUCCAAAACGCAAAUGGAAUCGGUUUUAUGGAGCUUUCAUAGGAAAAUCAUGAUUUAUUACUUUUAAGCAUUGGAAAAUUUGACAAAUUAAUGAUACAAUUUAAUGUAGGUACGUAAUAACAUU